AUAAAUUUCAUUCGAAUACGCGUAUAACAUCUAUUACAACCCAUAAAAAGGGGCAUACUGUUUGAAGCAAAAUUACAAAGUUUAACCAAAAAAAGACAUAAAUUCAUCCUAAUCUUAAUCACAUCCUCAAGCUCUUCUUUGAUUUUUGGUUGAACCAUUGGUGUGUGAAUACUCCAAUUUCCAAUCCUGAUAGCGCGAUUGUUUAAAAAACAAACCGUCACGCCGUGAGUAUUAGCAAGGAGACGACCAAACCAUGGUAAGUAACAAUCCUGUUGCGCAACACACCGCCGAUGUGAACCAUGUAUCAAGCAUCACCUGCAAUGCAUUUGUAAUACCAUAAGAGCCACACGGUGACAUAAAACAAAUUCAGCAUAACUACACCAUGAUACCAAGAUACACAACGCAUAACGGACCUGAGGCCAAUCAGGACAAAAUGUUGCUACUCUACAUCAGCAUAGAAUCAUUACAACAAUAAAGCCAUGCCAAGCAUCAUGAAUCUUCCAUUACCAUGACCUCAACCCUUACAGCAGCGAGACCUGCAUUAACCAUCUUGCAGCCAUAAUCCACUCACCUAAAUUGAAUCAAUCCAAUACACCAAAUAUGGACCUAUGCAUCCUAUAAGUUGAUUUUAACCCUGCAAUUGCCAUGACUCUGUCAAACAAAUAUGGACAUUGUUUCCAAGAACAGAUACAUAAGCUGAAGUUUUGUUUCGUGUUGCGCAUAUCGUAUGGAAAACAGGUCACAAUCAGUUAGACCUCAAGGCAAAAACUGCAGAAGCAUGUUGAAAAGAAAUCUUUUAUUAUAACCAAUGCUUUAUAGACAAGGUUAAUACAGGAAAGCUCAAAUCACUUAUAAACCAUGAUUGACGAACCUUAAGUCAGGUAGAAGCAUUGUUGUUGUGCGCAUAACCAUGACCAAUGAUAGUAGGCAAACUUCAGGAGGAAUAAACCUGCCAAGACAGGAAUUACCAGUUACCCGACUAUGAAUGAAAAUUGAAAGUUCAAGUCAUAUAAAAGGAUUACAAAUAUAAAAAUUAAGUUAAGGUUUCUACUGCAGUAAAGAAAAAUCUCAACGCACCACAUAGUUUUUUUGUUCACUACGGACAAAACCCUAUCCUUUCAUUUCGGGGACCAAAUCAAUUUGGAGGACCACCAAAUCUGGAAGGGUUCAUGAAGGAUGAGAACCAAUGAACCUCGUACUCGACUCUAUAAAAGGGGGCAUUGAACCAUUGAAGACUCUCUCGGAUUUACGCAUCGUUACUCUGCCAAAAAAUCACCAUCAAAUCACCAAAGUUCAUAUUAUAAAAACUACCCAGAGUUUCUCAUUGAAACUUUGGAUUAGUCGAACUAAACCGACCAUCGCGACUUGCGACAUAGAAAGGAAGAAGAAGAAGACAAGGAGCGCAAGAGGGCGGAAAGAAGGAAAGAAGGAGUAGAUACCUGAAGCCAUCACCACCGCCGGAAUUUUGCCGGAUUCCCAAGGUUUUCACGAGACCCAUUCGCCUUCACGUUAGGGUUUGCUCUUUUCUACUCUUCGAGAGAUUUUUGCUUGCACCUGUUUUGUGUUUGUUUUAAGCUAGAUGACUAUUGAUGUUGGUAUGGGAUAUGUUUAAGAUUCCAAAAACUUGAUGUUGUAUUUAAGGUUUGUGGCUCCAUUAAAACUCGUGGGUAGGGAUGGGUCUGUAGUUCGUAAAUGUUCAUCCCAUUUUCGACUGAGGUAGAUGUUAGAAAUUUUUUGGUCUUAUAAUAUUUGAAGGUUGGUUUUUGUUUGAAGCCAUAGUUUUAGAGUUAAAGGAAGAAGGAAGUGUAUCGUUCCUUUUUAAUAUCAGCAAUUUCGACUGAGGUAGAUGUUAGAAAUUUUUUGGUCUUAUAAUAUUUGAAGGUUGGUUUUUGUUUGAAGCCAUAGUUUUAGAGUUAAAGGAAGAAGGAAGUGUAUCGUUCCUUUUUAAUAUCAGCAUCUAAGGGCAAUUCUUUUUAAAAAAUCACAUUUAUCCAUGGUAUGAAAGUGGAGUUUCCUAGCUUUAAUUUGUCAUUCACGAUGUGUAUUUAAAAGUUGCCAUUCAUUGAUGACGGUUGGGUGCAUGAAUGCCACCUCGAGCCCGUUGUCCGCAUUACUCCCACGUGUCCCACUAGCGGGAAGGCCAAGGGCCAUUCAUAAAGGCAAGCGCAG
rnacentral:lncRNA from 1 species